GACGAACGCUGGCGGCGUGCUUAACACAUGCAAGUCGAACGGAAAGGCCCUGCUUGCAGGGUACUCGAGUGGCGAACGGGUGAGUAACACGUGGGCGAUCUGCCCUGCACUUCGGGAUAAGCCUGGGAAACUGGGUCUAAUACCGGAUAGGAGCCAUUUUUAGUGUGAUGGUUGGAAAGUUUUUUCGGUGUAGGAUGAGCUCGCGGCCUAUCAGCUUGUUGGUGGGGUAAUGGCCUACCAAGGCGGCGACGGGUAGCCGGCCUGAGAGGGUGGACGGCCACAUUGGGACUGAGAUACGGCCCAGACGCCUACGGGAGGCAGCAGUGGGGAAUAUUGCACAAUGGGCGCAAGCCUGAUGCAGCGACGCCGCGUGGGGGAUGACGGCCUUCGGGUUGUAAACUCCUUUCGCUAGGGACGAAGCUUUUUGUGACGGUACCUAGAUAAGAAGCACCGGCUAACUACGUG
rnacentral:rRNA from 1 species